rnacentral:rRNA from 1 species
AGUGAACGCUGGCGGUAGGCCUAACACAUGCAAGUCGAACGGCAGCACAGGAGAGCUUGCUCUCUGGGUGGCGAGUGGCGGACGGGUGAGGAAUACAUCGGAAUCUACUUUUUCGUGGGGGAUAACGUAGGGAAACUUACGCUAAUACCGCAUACGACCUACGGGUGAAAGCAGGGGAUCUUCGGACCUUGCGCGAUUGAAUGAGCCGAUGUCGGAUUAGCUAGUUGGCGGGGUAAAGGCCCACCAAGGCGACGAUCCGUAGCUGGUCUGAGUGGAUGAUCAGCCACACUGGAACGGAGACACGGUCCAGACUCCUACGGGAGGCAGCAGUGGGGAAUAUUGGACAAUGGGCGCAAGCCUGAUCCAGCCAUACCGCGUGGGUGAAGAAGGCCUUCGGGUUGUAAAGCCCUUUUGUUGGGAAAGAAAUCCAGCUGGUUAAUACCCGGUUGGGAUGACGGUACCCAAAGAAUAAGCACCGGCUAACUUCGUGCCAGCCGCCGCGGUAA